GCCCGUGGGGGGGCCCCACACAUCGCAGGUCGAGGGGCUUGCAUUCACUUCGGUGAGAUGGCGACCGGCGGACGGGUGUGUAACGCGUAUGCAACCUACCCAUUACAGGGGGAUAGCCCGAAGAAAUUUGGAUUAAUACCCCAUAAUAUUAUUGGAUGGCAUCAUUUAAUGAUUAAAGAGUUAUUGGUAAUGGAUGGGCAUGCGUCCCAUUAGCUAGUUGGUGGGUUAACAGCUUACCAAGGCGACGAUGGGUAGGGGUUCUGAGAGGAAGGUCCCCCACACUGGUACUGAGAUACGGACCAGACUCCUACGGGAGGCAGCAGUAGGGAAUAUUGGUCAAUGGGCGAUAGCCUGAACCAGCCAUGCCGCGUGCAGGACGACGGCCUUCUGGGUUGUAAACUGCUUUUAUACAGGAAUAAAAUUGUCUUGCGAGACCGAUUGCAUGCACUGUAUGAAUAAGCACCGGCUAACUCCGUGCCAGCAGCCGCGGUAAUACGGAGGGUGCAAGCGUUGUCCGGAUUUAUUGGGUUUAAAGGGUGCGUAGGCGGUUAUUUAAGUCAGUGGUGAAAACCCUGAGCUCAACUGAGGGCUUGCCAUUGAUACUGAGUAACUUGAUUACCGUAUAGGUAGGCGGAAUUUAUGGUGUAGCGGUGAAAUGCAUAGAUACCAUAAAGAACACCGAUAGCGAAGGCAGCUUACUGGACGGUUAGUGACGCUGAUGCACGAAAGCGUGGGUAGCGAACGGGAUUAGAUACCCCGGUAGUCCACGCUGUAAACGAUGAUCACUCGAUGUGUGCGAUAUACAGUACGCGUCCAAGCGAAAGCGUUAAGUGAUCCACCUGGGGAGUACGACCGCAAGGUUG
rnacentral:rRNA from 1 species